GAUGAACGCUGACAGAAUGCUUAACACAUGCAAGUCAACUUGAACUUCGGUUUGGGUGGCGGACGGGUGAGUAACGCGUAAAGAACUUGCCUCACAGCUAGGGACAACAUUUGGAAACGAAUGCUAAUACCUGAUAUUAUGAUUAUAUGGCAUCGUAUAAUUAUGAAAGCUAUAUGCGCUGUGAGAGAGCUUUGCGUCCCAUUAGCUAGUUGGAGCGGUAACAGCUCACCAAGGCGAUGAUGGGUAGCCGGCCAGAGAGGGUGAUCGGCCACAAGGGGACUGAGACACGGCCCUUACUCCUCCGGGAGGCAACAGUGGGGAAUCUUGGACAAUGGACCGAGAGUCUGAUCCAGCAAUUCUGUGUGCAAGAUGAAGUUUUUCGGAAUGUAAAGUGCUUUCAGUUGGGAAGAACAAAAUGACGGUACCAACAGAAGAAGUGACGGCUAAAUACGUG
rnacentral:rRNA from 1 species